CACAUGCAAGUCGAACGGCAGCACGGGGGCAGCCCUGGUGGCGAGUGGCGAACGGGUGAGUAAUAUAUCGGAACGUGCCCUGGAGUGGGGGAUAACUAGUCGAAAGACUAGCUAAUACCGCAUACGAUCUAUGGAUGAAAGUGGGGGAUCGCAAGACCUCAUGCUCGUGGAGCGGCCGAUAUCUGAUUAGCUAGUUGGUGGGGUAAAAGCCUACCAAGGCAUCGAUCAGUAGCUGGUCUGAGAGGACGACCAGCCACACUGGGACUGAGACACGGCCCAGACUCCUACGGGAGGCAGCAGUGGGGAAUUUUGGACAAUGGGGGCAACCCUGAUCCAGCAAUGCCGCGUGAGUGAAGAAGGCCUUCGGGUUGUAAAGCUCUUUUGUCAGGGAAGAAACGGUCCGGGCUAAUAUCCUGGGCU
rnacentral:rRNA from 1 species